GUGGGGAAUAUUGGACAAUGGGCGCAAGCCUGAUCCAGCCAUGCCGCGUGUGUGAAGAAGGCCUUUUGGUUGUAAAGCACUUUAAGCGAGGAGGAGGCUACUUGGAUUAAUACUCUAGGAUAGUGGACGUUACUCGCAGAAUAAGCACCGGCUAACUCUGUGCCAGCAGCCGCGGUAAUACAGAGGGUGCGAGCGUUAAUCGGAUUUACUGGGCGUAAAGCGUGCGUAGGCGGCUUUUUAAGUCGGAUGUGAAAUCCCUGAGCUUAACUUAGGAAUUGCAUGCGAGACUGGGAAGCUAGAGUAUGGGAGAGGAUGGUAGAAUUCCAGGUGUAGCGGUGAAAGGCGUAGAGAUCUGGAGGAAUACCGAUGGCGAAGGCAGCCAUCUGGCCUAAUACUGACGCUGAGGUACGAAAGCAUGGGGAGCAAACAGGAUUAGAUACCCUUGUAGUCC
rnacentral:rRNA from 1 species